UAAAUCAGAAUAAUUGAAGUUGGGAUCUAAAAAGCAAGUUUUUACAGUCAAUGGAUUCAUCAGGAUCUGAAUAUCAUUGGCAUUUAACUGUGGAAGAAGAAAGGAUGAGGCUGUCACUGGCUCGGCCAGCAUUUAUUGCUGCGUUUACCCAGAGGGCAGUUAAGAGUCAACCACGUUGCUGUAGGUCUGGAGUCCCAUGCAGACCAGACCAGAUCCCAGUGAUCAGUGCCAAAGCCCCAUUGCCUGUGAAGAGGGUGAUGUUUGAUUUCCCUGUCCAGCUGCAGUUCAUGUGGUGAAGGUGCUCCCACAAUGUGGUUGGGUGGACAUUCAGAUGGUAAUCUCAGUAAUUGUAACGCCAAACUGUGACAAAAUUACUCAAUUCAUCAGGAGCUGGAUAUUCACAUUGUGUAUGGAUGUUCUUAAACAUGAUAGGAAGGAGAACAGAAUUCGAUGGAAUAUUGCAAAAGUUGCCGAAUCAAUGUCCAGUACAGCCGCAAUAUGACCUCCCAACCCCUAUACUCAAUGCUCUGACCAAUAAAGACAAGCCGGCCAACCGCCGCCUUCACUAUUCGAUU